CUACCUUAUUCUACGGAAUAACACAGAGAAAUUUGUGCUAAUACCGUAUACGCCCUUCGGGGAAAGAUUUAUCGGAGUAGGAUGGGCCCGCGUUGGAUUAGCUAGUUGGUGGGGUAAUGGCCUACCAAGGCGACGAUCUAUAGCUGGUCUGAGAGGAUGAUCAGCCACACUGGGACUGAGACACGGCCCAGACUCCUACGGGAGGCAGCAGUGGGGAAUAUUGGACAAUGGGGGCAACCCUGAUCCAGCCAUGCCGCGUGAGUGAUGAAGGCCCUAGGGUUGUAAAGCUCUUUCAACGGUGAAGAUAAUGACGGUAACCGUAGAAGAAGCCCCGGCUAACUUCGUGCCAGCAGCCGCGGUAAUACGGAGGGGGUUAGCGUUGUUCGGAAUUACUGGGCGUAAAGCGCGCGUAGGGGAUUGGAAAGUUGGGGGUGAAAUCCCGGGGCUCAACCCCGAACUGCCUCCAAAACUAUCAGUCUAGAGUUCGAGAGAGGUGAGUGGAAUUCCAAGUGUAGAGGUGAAAUUCGUAGAUAUUUGGAGGAACACCAGUGGCGAAGGGGCUCACUGGCUCGAUACUGACGCUGAGGUGCGAAAGUGUGGGGAGCAAACAGGAUUAGAUACCCUGGUAGUCCACACCGUAAACGAUGAAUGCCAGACGUCGGGGGGCUUGCCUUCGGUGUCACACCUAACGGAUUAAGCAUUCCGCCUGGGGAGUACGGUCGCAAGAUUAAAACUCAAGGAAUUGACGGGGGCCCGCACAAGCGUGGAGCAUGUGGUUUAAUUCG
rnacentral:rRNA from 1 species